GGGGAGGGGGGCUUCUACUCUUGAGUUUUGUAAAUUAGUAAUUCCUUUUUUUUGUUUUUUCUCAGCCUCCCUAGGAGCUGGGACUACAGAACAGCACCAGGGAUUCUCUUUCGUUGAAUUUGCGUUGGCAGAGGGUGUUGAAACAGCUGUGGAUAGCAGGCCAAUUGUCCAUGGCCAACUCUGGCUCAAACAUCAAUGGCUCCCAGUUCUUCCUGACAUGUGACAAGACAGAUUGGCUGGAUGGCAAGCACGUGGUGUUUGGAGAGGUCACCGAGGGCCUAAAUGUCUUAUGGCAGAUGGAGGUGCUGCACAGAGGAAGACAGAAAGUUCUGGUGAGGGAUCCCGGCUGAUAGCCAGCCUGUGACCUGACCUGACUACCCUCCUGCUCGCUUCUCCGGUCACGGGAGCCCCCCGCUGCCCUCUUAGGAACCAGUUGUGAGACCUGCUAUGUGAAGGGGAUAAUUGAGGCAGAACUCAAGGGAUAGAACACAACUAAAGAUUAUGUUUCUAAAGAACAUUUAAUAAUGGUCAAAAUAUGUCAUAAAUUGAAUAAAUCAGCUAACCCAGCAA